GUGUUUGGAGAGACUCUUAUUAAUGGAUAUUUGUGAAAUUAUUUUUAUUUUAGUUACACUCUUUGUGAUAGCUGACAUUAUGGCUCUAUGACUUGGAAAGCUAGUCCAUAUCACUUGCCUUAGACUUCUCAGAAAUGUAACACUGAAUCCUUCAUAAUACUGAGAAAAAAAUAAAUAUAAACAUGACAAAACUCGUCUUAUUAAAUUUGGCAUGAAUGAGAGGCGGAGAGAGAGAUGGGCUUUCAAAUAUUAUUUUGCCUGAUGCACUAAUACAGUAGGCAGUAGACAGGAGGCCAUUUCAAUGAAAAUUAAUUAAAAUAAAAAAAUCAUUUUUUUAGUAGCAAUAGCUACAUUUAAAAAUGCUCAUAUAGCCAUAUGUGGCUAGCCGGUACUAUGUUAGACAGCUGAGAUAUAAAAAAAAAAAAAAUUCCCAUCAUUACAGAAGUUCUAUUGGACAACACCCCAGUAGAGAGACAUGGUAAAGUGAAGAAAAUCGCUUUGUCAUCUGUAGGCAUGAAAUCUUACUUUCCUUCUGUCAUUUGCCAUAGUAAAGAAACUGUUACUCUGUGAGAAGAAAAUCUAGUAGUGCGUUUGUUUUCCUUCUGACAUGUCUUUCAACUGUCAUGUCCUCCCAUCCACCUUACACUUGGAUUGUCACAUCCUUCCUCUUCAAUCUAUAUGUUAAACAGAGAGAUGCCAGCCAUUUUCAUCUGUCUUCCUCUUCCCUGCUAAAUAAAGCAGCUUUUCCAACUACCACUACUCUUGACUAUAAAUAGUCAGCCUGUGACUAGAAAAGAUUGGAUUAUACAAUCUUCAGGAAGCAGCUUUCUGCCUUCAAUGGGUUUCUAGUAAAUAUCCUCACCCCAAAAUACUUUCCAAGAGUCUGGUUGCACUGCCUGAAAUUCUAGCAUGUUCCUGAAACUUUUUCAUUUUGCUAAAGUCCAUUACGGAAAUGCAAAUUCCUGGCUGCUGUGUAUCAGUCUGGUUUCCACACGUAAAUGCUUUUAAGUUUACAGAACCUGGAAGGAAAAGAGCUCUGGAAACUAGGGAAGACAGACUUUGUGAGGGGGAGUUUCCAUGAAAGUGUCGGGAUGCUUCUGAAAAUGGAGACUUCCUCACAGUGAAAGAAGAGAGCAGGAACGUGAAGAUUGAUUCCACCAGUGGCCGUGGACUCACAUUCUCAGACCUUGCUGUGCCACAAAAUGUCCCAGACCAGAAGGCUGGGUUGUGUGCCUGGCCUUUGGCUCCAGGAAGAAGACAGAAGCCUCCACAAGAAGGGAAGAGCUCAACAGUCGAGUUUCCAGUAACCUGCAGGAAAUUCUCCAGCUUUUAUAAACGUUGACACAGCAAAAGCUGGCUACUUCAAAUGACGACAUGUAUUACAGUUUCUGGAUUUUCCUAGGAAAAAUCGAGCCUUCACUUUUUGAAAAACAGCACUCUAUAGCUACAAAAAACUUAAAAAAAAAAAUAUUCUUUUCAUAUUUACAUCAGUUCAGAGUCAAAUAUGCUUUAAUAAAAUUUCAUUAAAAUAAGAUAGACAUAGACUACGAAAAAAUAUUAUUCAGAAAACAAAGUGCUGUACAAAGAGUUUGAGAUGUUAAAAAACACAGCUUUCUUCAAUUUUUUUCCCCCCACAGGCAUUGUUGGGUAUUAUGAAGGAAUACUCUGCUAUAUUACAAUUUAUACUUUUUAUUUUGGAGAAAAAGCUUAAAUAUUUCUACACCUACAGGGUUUUAAUACAUAUAAUUGAUUAGUAAAAUUUAGAACAUGUGCUAGCUUUGGGAACUAAAAUGUUACAGUCAUUAAUAAUACUGUCUGCCUUGAGGAUAAAGUUGGGGGUCAUAUAAUUGCACAAUUUAACAGAUGACAUUUUAGACUUAUAUAUCUUAGUUUGUUUUUAAUAAGUUUUAAUUAAUUGGCUACUUAUUUUGUGAUUUAAUGUUAUUUAUAUUUACUAAUAAGGAGCCUGGGAAACCCUAUGGAGCAUUCUACUCUCUAACAUGUGAUUGUCGCCAUGAGUUAAAGUCAACGCCAGGACAGCUAACAACAA